rnacentral:lncRNA from 1 species
AGCUGCGUUUCUGUAUCCGUGCCAUGGGAAGUCUCCUGUCCUGUUUCCACUCUGCCUUCUCCAUAAAGCAGGCUGAUUAUCAGGGCCCUCACACAAGCCCAGCGUGGUAGCUGAUUAAGGCUUGACAAGCAAAAAGCAAACAGGAUUUCUAAUCAUGUGUCUCAUAGAAAUGGAGCCACAAAAACCCAAAGAAUUGCCAUUACACCCCAAGUCAUGCAAUUUAGAGCAACUCAGGAAAUAGGUGCACACAAGCAAACCAUGUGGUUAAAGCCUUUGGAACUGGUUUGAGCAAAGCUGUAGGUGAUUUGACAAAAUCAUCUGCAAAACCAGAUUUCUAACACCUCCCUGCUGUGUAUCUCAUUUCUGCUGAUGUGUGGUGCUUCAUAAGAUGGGGACGUUAAGCAUGCAGCAACUACAGUCAUUUGUUCUCAGAGCUCAGAAAUGUAUAUUUAAAAGCAGGCUGCUUUGGACAAUGCUUCGCUCAUUAAGACUCUUUUUAGGUGCAUUGUUUACUGUGUAAACCCUGAUUAAUUUACAGUUUUUCUUUUUGCCUGACUCAUAAUUACUCUAUGGAAAAUACAAUUUUGGAGAAUACAACAUUAACUACAUAGGAUUGGUAUUAACAGUCACGGACCCACUGAAGGCGAGUUUUACUGUUCGCUCAAUGAAUGUCCUUCAGUAUCUCUAAAUUAGAUGGAAAAGCAUCUAUGAUUUCAGGGCCCAUUUAAAUAAAUUAAAGCCAGAAAUGAGUGUGCUAACUUUGCAUGGAUCCAAACAUUUGCCACUGUUUUCCUGUCUUCCCUUUCUACCAUUAAAUUCAACCCGACCUUUAGAAUUUGUGUCCCCCAAGCAGAAGAUAGAUGAUUCCCGUGUAUCAACCUUGUAUUAAAUGCCUACCAUGCACUAAGCACUAGGAAAAUAGGGAGGAAACAACACCCUGGAUACUUUUCUCAAGUAGCUCUCAGUGCAGCGGGCUUAGCAUGGAAACAGAAGCAGCAAAACGUUGUGGGAAGUGUCUGUGUAACAUGCGGCAUGGCUGUUAUUUAAUCCCAAUUAAAAGGAUGAGAAAGUUGAGGUUUACUAAAGUUAAGGAACUCCCCUAGGUCCAUAGUUAGCAAGCGCUAGAGACAGAAUUCCAAACCAAAGCAGUCUGCUUGAAAAGCCCAGUUUUGUCCCACCCCUUCCCUAAGCAUUUGUUCAGAUGGGAGUGAACAAUGCAUAAAACUGGCUGUGGCAUUCGGCUGACCUGAGAUCUAGUGGUGGCCUUAUUCCCAGCAUGCAAACUCUCACUGACAUGCAAACCCUUGCUGACUACUUCAUAUGAGAAGGCAGCACCAUUCCUCUGUCAUGUAUGAAUGCAAUUUUCCUGAGACAUUUUUAUUUUCUGUUGCUUGUUUUUAAAUAAUUAAUGCCAUUGUAACAGCAGCCUCUCUUCAUUUAGGAGGGCAUUUCCACUCUGAAUUUCCAGUUCCAAACAUUUCAGUUUUCCACCAAGACAUCAUUCCUGGGUUUGGGAUUCCUGAAUUUUCUCCACACAGAGGUGACUGCUUUCAGUGGAAAACUUAGCGAAAUUGCAUUGUUCUCCCUGAAGUAUCUGUGUAACCAAAACAAUGUUACUGCUAUAUGACAUGUUGUAGGCAUUCUCAAUACAUUUGGAAAAUGCAAAAGUAACUGUGAUCUAACAUCUCAAACUGGCUAUGGAUUUAUUUUCCUGUGGUCAGGUCUGGACCAAAGAGAAACAAGAAAAGCUGGAGUCACACUACCAAAGGCCGAAGCUGAGCAACAGAGCUCUGGAGUCAGCUGCCUGGGUUCAGCAUGCAGCGCUGCCGUGGACGAUCUGUCUCUCUUGCAUAUAUGACUUACCAGUUUUACUUUCAGUCUCUCCAUUUCUAAUUAAAUGAGAUGCAGAAAUGCUGGUGCCUUGCUAUGAUGUUUGCAGUUAUUAUUUCUAGGAAAAAAAAUAUUAUUGUUACUCAGUAUCUGGUACAUCAAAACUAAGCCAGAAACGUUUAAAAAGAACAAAAGUAUCAUUUCUACUUAAUUCUCUAGCUACUUGGACAACUGGACUAUGCCCCUCCUUUCAAGGGAGGGCAAAGCAUUUCAGAAAAGAACUAAGUGCUAUUUCUCUGCUUCAGGAAUGUCUCCCGUAUGUAAAAGAAUGUGGCUUCAGGGAGUAGCAUGUGUUGUAAAGGUGGAUGGGUCUAACUUCAUGGACAGCUCUGACAUCCACUAGCUAUGCCACCUGAUGCAAACCACUUGGGCUGUCUGUAGUUUCGUUUAUCUUUCUGGAAUUGGUAAUAACAACCACCUGGCAAGAUCACUGUUAUGAAUACGGAGGAUCAAAGUUGUGAAGUUAUUUUGUAAAGUGAAAUGUUCUGAAAAUUGGAUUUUAACAGUGUCAGCGAAAAGUAGAUUUUUGACAUUUAUCAAGAGUUCAGCUAAUGAAAACAAGUAUGGAUAAUAGUUACAUAGAACUGUCUACUUUACUCAGUACUUUAGCAUAUGCUAUUAUAUUUAAUCUUCUUAAAAAGUAGAAAAUUAU